ACGGGAGGCAGCAGUGGGGAAUUUUGCGCAAUGGGGGGAACCCUGACGCAGCAACGCCGCGUGCGGGAUGAAGGCCUUCGGGUUGUAAACCGCUUUCAGCAGGGACGAUCGUGACGGUACCUGCAGAAGAAGCUCCGGCUAACUACGUGCCAGCAGCCGCGGUAAUACGUAGGGAGCGAGCGUUAUCCGGAUUCAUUGGGCGUAAAGCGCGCGUAGGCGGCGCCGCAAGCGGAAUCUCUAAUCCGAGGGCUCAACCCCCGGCCGGAUUCCGAACUGCGGUGCUCGAGUGCGGUAGGGGCAGGCGGAAUUCCCGGUGUAGCGGUGAAAUGCGCAGAUAUCGGGAAGAACACCGAUGGCGAAGGCAGCCUGCUGGGCCGACACUGACGCUGAGGCGCGAAAGCUAGGGGAGCGAACAGGAUUAGAUACCCUGGUA
rnacentral:rRNA from 1 species